UACGGGGGGGGCAAGCGUUGUUCGGAAUUACUGGGCGGAAAGGGCUCGUAGGCGGCCAACUAAGUCAGACGUGAAAUCCCUCAGCUUAACUGGGGAACUGCGUCUGAUACUGGAUGGCUUGGAUUCGGGAGAGGAAUGCGGAAUUCCAGGUGUAGCGGUGAAAUGCGUAGAUAUCUGGAGGAACACCGGUGGCGAAGGCGGCAUUCUGGACCGAUAUUGACGCUGAGGAGCGAAAGCCAGGGGAGCAAACGGG
rnacentral:rRNA from 1 species